rnacentral:tRNA from 1 species
GCCCGGAUGGUCUAGUGGUAAGUUGUUCUGCAAUGCAAUAAUCCCGUGGUCUGCUCUAACAGUUCACAUCAGGUAUGAUUCCUGCUUCGGGAUACGAGCAUGCAGGAGGCCCCGCGUUCGAAUCGCGGUUCGGGCC